CCUACGGGAGGCUGCAGUGAGGAAUAUUGGUCAAUGGGCGGGAGCCUGAACCAGCCAAGUCGCGUGAGGGAAGACGGUCCUAUGGAUUGUAAACCUCUUUUGGCGGGGAGCAAUGCCGGGCACGCGUGCCCGGAGGGAGAGUACCCGCAGAAUCAGCAUCGGCUAACUCCGUGCCAGCAGCCGCGGUAAUACGGAGGAUGCGGGCGUUAUCCGGAUUGAUUGGGUUUAAAGGGUGCGUAGGCGGAUUUUUAAGUCAGCGGUAAAAUGUCCGGGCUCAACCCGGGCCGGCCGUUGAAACUGGGGAUCUUGAGUGGGCGAGAAGGAGGCGGAAUGCGUGGUGUAGCGGUGAAAUGCAUAGAUAUCACGCAGAACUCCGAUUGCGAAGGCAGCAGACCGGCGCCCGACUGACGCUGAGGCACGAAAGCGUGGGGAUCGAACAGGAUUAGAUACCCGGGUAGUC
rnacentral:rRNA from 1 species